GCCCUGGUAGCUCAGCCUGGUAGAGCGCUUCCCGGAUUAGGGAGAGAUCGGAGGUUCAAAUCCUUCCCGGGGCACCA
rnacentral:tRNA from 1 species